rnacentral:lncRNA from 1 species
CGGAGAGAGAGGUCACCCGCUCAGGCCGGGCCUUGCAAAACACAGUUAUUUAAAGAGUUGUGCAAGGCCGGGGCCCGCGGGUGGCGAAAGGGGCCCCUCACUCCACCCCGGGGGAGGGCGGGGGAGGGCGGGGCGGAGAGCUGGGGAGGGGGCUCGGGGAGUCGGGACAGGGGCGCCCGCCCCCCCCCCCCCCCCCCCCCCGCCCGGAGGAAGUGAGCCGAGCAGAACUGAAGAAGAAGAAAUAAGACGACAAAAACCCCAGUCCGGAUUUCAAAGGCUUCUUGGAAAGCGGCCGAUUUGCAUGGGUGGGGGGGGCAACCCCUCCGGCCGGGGCGACUAAAAACGGAAGAUUAUUGACAAACCCGCCGCCUGGGGUCGGCCGCCGAACGUUGGAUUGACAAACGCGCGCUCCCCGGGCUUCCUGCGCCCGCUUUUGUGUCUGGGGGGCACUGGAUGGGGGGGGAGGCGGGGGGGCUUUUCCCGGGGAUCCCCGCCAGAGAGCCGGGGCCCCGGGCCGAACCCACCCCCUUAUCCCGGGCGCGGGGACCUGGGGACCGUGGUGUCCCCUCCAGGGGCCCCCUUCUGCCCGGGAGCCGACACUUUAUAAAUAAACCGCCCGGGCUGGGGAGGGUCGCCAGGGAACGGCCUUCCGCACCCGGCGCUCCCACUCCGCGCCCUCGGGGCUCUCGAAUAAAACACCCGAUUCCGGGGAGAAAAAAAUGAAAUAAGAACCGGGAGCGCAGCCCCCCGCGCGCGCCGAGAGACCAUUUCCUUCCGCUGGGGAGGGGGGAGCGCGCGCUCGCGACCCCCGAUCGCCCCCGCGCGUCCCCGGCGCAAUACGGUAGGGGGUGAGGUCUCCAAGGCGGGGGCGCCGAGCAAACUGCCCCAACUCCGACCCCCUAGGAUCGCCUUCCCGGCGCUGGACCCCCCACCCACGUCGCUGCCCAACUUUGGGGACCCCGCUCAUUGGUUUCCACGGCGCGCUGCGCCCACCCGAGACCGGAACGCGCGGUUUAAAAGGCCAGUGCGCGCGCCCCCCCCAAGCCUCACCGCGCGGGGCCCGCUCGGGGGGCGCAGGGCCCGCUCGGGGGGCGCAUGCCCCGCGCUGGCGUCCGGCCCUGCCCCGGCCGCGCCUGGCCUCCCGCCCGGGCCGCGAGCUGCGCGCUGCUGGCUGCCGGCCGCCGCCGGGUUUGUGCCGCGCGCCGACUCACCGAGCCGCCAGCCGAGUCCGCGUCUACACCCCCAUCCGACCCGAUUGGUAAAAGGCUCCCCGCGCGCGGCCUCCCCCGCCCCUCCCCUCCCCCCGCCGGCGCGCUCACCGCCCCGCAGACAAAUCACCGGGUGACAAAUCGCUCUCAGAUGCAAAUACCUCGCCGGUGAUUCAGCGCCGCGGCCCGGGACGCGGGGAGGGGUCUCGGGAGGCCCCCUCCCCCUUCCCCGAAGCCCCCUCGCGCCCCGCGCUCGGUCCGGCGACGCGCCACCGGCCCCGGGGCUGUUGGGGAGGGGGGGGAAGACUGGACGGAAAUUUUCAAGUCGCGGCCCCUUUAAAUGAUAAUAAAUAAUAAAAGGAAGGGGAACAGCGACGCGGGACGCCCCGCCCCCUGCCUAGGGAAGGUGGGCAAAGUGCGCGCCGCGGCCCCGAGCGCACAGGGCGCCCAGGGCGCGGGCGGGGCUGGGAGCGCCCGCGGGGGAGGGGAGGGGGGCUGGGCCUCCGCCCGGGCGGCCGGGGAAGGGUGGGGGCCUCGAGCCGGGUCGACGACCCCCUCCCCCAUCUCACCGAGCACCUAGGAGGGGCCUGCCGGGCUCGGAGUUUCACCCCUGCCCCUUAGACGCGGCGCCCGGCAGCCGAGCCCCGGUUUGCAGAUAAUUGUAGCCUCUCCUGCAGAGCCGUCUCCCUCGUUCCCUUCACCAGCUGCCCCGACAGUAACUCAGCAGCGUUUUGCAAAACCGCGGCACGGCAUGGCCACCAGGAGGCCCACACUGAGGCCACCCUCCCAUCUGACCCGGAUCUUCUUUUCCUGGGACCUCUGCUACCCAGAUGGAACCAGACAUCGUGUCACCCGUGGGUCCUUCACGCUCGCCGAGAUUCCCGGAGAGCCACGUGGGGUGUUGUGUGUGUCUGUGGUGUGUUCUUGACCUUGUGCUGCUGAGCGGUGCUCCGUGGGGUGCAUGCACCACAGCGGGUUUCACCCCCCACCUGCCGAAGGACGCCUGGGGUGUCCCCAGUUUGGGGCUUUUGAUAAUAAAGCUGCUGCCGACAUCUGUGCGGGUUUGUGUGCGGACGGAAGUUUUCAUCUCUCUGAGCUGAUUACUCAGGACGCCCCCUUUAGCUUUUUUUUUUAAUGUUUUUUUUUUUAAUUUUUCCUUUUUCUCCCCAA